rnacentral:lncRNA from 1 species
UUUUAUUUACAUUCUCACAAGUCACAAUAAUCUACCAUUCGGGGGAGAGCAAAGGUCAGUGCUAUAAAACAUUAUCGAAUUUCUGUUACAAAACAAUUUCACUAAAUACUACUCGUAUAUUUUUUUUUUACUAAAUACUACUCGUAUAUGUAAGCAAUUUAUUCUCCCUUAAUAUAAUUUUCUUUAACUUUAAUUAUCACUAAUAAAACUUCACUUUCAAUUGUGGCCAAAAGAGAUAAACAACCUCACCAAUAUGACUUUUUCCAGCUUAAAAAU